AUAAAGGCUGUUCAUCUUCUGAUGGAGAGACAGACUUAACAUCAAAAGAGCAACUGACGGUCAAGAGUUUCUCCUGCAGCACCUGUGGAAAAACACUGAGUUCAGAGGGUCAUUUAAAGAGACACGAGAGAAAACACACAGAACAGAAAAACUUCAGCUGUAAGAUAUGCAACAUCAGCUUUCCUACCGCAGAAGAGAGGAGACUUCAUUCAAAAGAGCACAGCGGGAAGAAGGAGUUUCACUGUGAACAGUGCGGGGAGUGUUUCAGCGCCAAAGGAAAUCUUGAUGCUCAUGAGCGAAUCCACACGGGAGAAAGACCAUACAAGUGUCCGCACUGCGAGAGAAGAUUCAAUCACGGAUCUCAUCUGAAGACACAUAUGCGUUUGCACACUAAUGAGAGACCGUAUCAGUGCAGUGAAUGUGGGAAAGCCUUUACAGACUCAAGCUCUCUAAAGUCACACCAGAAAAUCCAUUCUGAUGAGAAACCGCUUCAGUGCAAACACUGCGACAAACGAUUCCGUCAUAUUAAUAGUUUGUACAUUCACGAGAGGACACACACCGGAGAGAAACCAUAUCUGUGCUCCUACUGCGGGAAGAGCUUUUCAAAUUCAUCUAGUUUUUUAUUUCAUAAGCGAGUCCACACCGGAGAAAAACCAUAUCACUGCAGCGUCUGUGGAAAGAGUUUCGGUAAACAUGGUACAUUUCGAAACCACAAGAGGACUCAUACUGGAGAAAGACCGUUCAAAUGCUCACAGUGUGACAAGACGUUUGCUCGAUCAGACGUCCUUAAGGUCCAUCAGCGAGUUCAUACAGGAGAGAAACCUUACUCCUGCUCCAUCUGCAGCGAGAGAUUCGCUUAUUUAGGUAGUUUCCAGACCCACCAGAACAAACACACUAAAGAACAAACUGCUCCAGAAUCAUCAGAGUGACUUUCAUCAGUCAAUCUGGGAAAGAAAUCUUGUUUGGCUCGUCCUGAAAGUGUUCAUUGAGUUCUUACUGAGUGAACUUUUUUAAUGCUGUGGAUUGAUCCAAGUGCUGUAUAUAAUGUCAUGUUUGACAGAGUAAAGCAAUGAUUUUAUGUUAAACAAGACAGAACUAUUAAAAAUACUCAAAAUAAAAUACUACAAUAAUAUGA